AUGAUCCUUAUUAUAUAGAAAAAAAUUACCAUGGAAAGACCCCAAUGGUCACGAAUGAAUGAACAGUAAAAACACGGUAAGACACUUUAGUUAAACACAAUAAAUUAACAUAAAAAUUGGUAUGAGUUAAAUUUAUUAAAAUAACUGAGAAACCAAACCUAUGCUACAGAAAGACACUUAGAAAAAGGGUUUUAUUGGGUCGCUGUAUAAAUAUGCCUAUUAGGGUUAGGGUUUGCCAAAGAACAAAAGAGAAAGUAGCUAUUUAAUCUUAAUUUCCUUAAUCUCCACCACACAUAUGCCAUUUAUUUUCUCGUUGUUCGGCUGAGAACUCUCUACACUUAAGAAGAGAUGAAAAAAGUUUUGAGGAAAUCAUCAAAGGACUCCUCAAACAACUCUACAAAUUCAUCAUCGUCCUUUACUGUGAGGACAGUGAGAUAUGUAGAGUGUCAGAAGAAUCACGCCGCCAGUGUCGGCGGAUACGUCGUCGAUGGUUGCCGGGAGUUCAUGCCGGGAGCAACUGCCGGCGCCGCCCUAACUUGUGCAGCCUGUGGCUGUCACCGCAAUUUUCAUAGAAAGGAAGUGGAAACUGGUGUUGCUUCUGAUUGUACUUCUGCUUCUUCCACUCCUACAUGAAAUCCAGGUGCCCGAGCGACAGAGUGAGGGUCCUCAGCUGAUCCAGAGUUUGACGGAGAUUGUAAGGUAGUUGCAUGGUGUCCGCAGCCCUGUUUUCUCCUUCCUAUCUUGUUCUUUUCCGUAUUUUCUAUACUUAUAUUGUACCGGACAGUUAGUUAUGUAGUAGAGGCUCUAGACUCGUGACACCGGAUAUUUGGGGCUGUGUAGUUUCAUUUUUAUUUGACUUCCGCAUAUAUUUUGUUGCUUUAAACUCUUAUAAUGAAAGUUUGGUAUUUAAAACCUGUGUUAGAAAAUGGCUUAUUAUAAGGAAAAAA